rnacentral:lncRNA from 1 species
GUGGGUGGGGCUCGCGAUUUGAGUCGGGACUAGCGGAUUCGCCGGAGGCUCUGGUCUCCCAGCAAGAGGACAAAUGUGCCGGGAUGUAUGCAGGCAAGCCAGAAGAGGAGAGUCCAGGACCAGUAAAUCAGGUCAGUAAAUGCACUAUUCUGUCAGGGGCCAAGUUACCACUGAAGAGGUAAGACAAGUGAUGGUUGAGGAUCAUAAAUGUGAUUCAAGGACAGCAGAAAUUACCAAGAAGAAAGGGAAAUGUCUGUCAGAUGUGGCACCAAUCUCUUAGUUUCCCCUUAGUAAUACUCCACUGAGAGUAGUUAGAGAAGCUAGUGGGCCAUUGAGAUGGCAGGGUGCCAGCAGCAUUUGGACCCACAGCUUCUGCAACAUUCAAUGCCAGGGCCUGCAGCUGUGGUGGGUGCAGCAGCCUCAGAGGAUGUGAAGUGGACCUCCCCAGAAGUAUCUAUCCUUUUCAGAGAACACCAGCAGAUUAACAGUCACUUUGGACAUUGGAAGCUGCAGCAAACACCUCAAUAUAAUAAGUUGACACAGGAGCAAAGGGAAUGAAUGGUCCAACCCAUGGAGCAGUCAGGGAAGCUGGUCAGGGAAAAGGCAGGGGAGACACCCCUAAGGGGUCCCCAGGCUAUCUGUGAGGAAUUAAAGGGGUCUGGACUUCCCGUACUGUUGUUAGAAACUAAGGAAAAAUACUACUAAUAAGAUAAAUGUCUGUGGUUGUCUUACAUCUUAGCUGGGUAUGUAGGAAUUUAGGUUAUAUGAAAAUUAUUUAGAAUUAAGCUUUCUUUCUUUUUUUCUUUUUCUUUCCUUUUUCUCCUGGUCACCCAUGGCAUAUAGAGUUCCCAGGUCAAGGGUAGGAUCUGACCUAUGCCACAGCUGCGGCAAUGCCAAAUCCUUUAACUCACUUGCCAGGCUGGGGAUUGAACCAUCCUAUUGUGCCACAGCAGGAACUCUAGAAGUAAGUUUUCUUAAGGAGUCACAAAACUUUUCUUUUUUGUUUUUUAGGGCUGCACCUGUGGCAUAUAGAGGUUCCCGGGCUAGGGGUUGAAUCAGAUCUGCAGCUGUUGGCCUACACCACAGCUGUAGCAAUGUGGAAUCAGAGCCACAUCUGUGACCUACGCCAUAGCUCAAGGCAACAUUGGAUCCUUAACCCACUGAGCGAGGCCAGGGAUUGAAUCUGCAUCCUCAUGGAUACUAGUAAGAUUCAUUUCUGCUGAGCCAUGAUGGGAAUUCCAACACAGGAUUAUUCCAACUCCCUCUCUUUCCCUCAGGGUUUGCUGACUUUACCUAUAAUGUCUUCUCAUGUUGCCUCACCCUAAAAGAAUUAGGACUAUCUAAGGCAGCAUUUAACUGGAAACCCAACUAAGGUUUGUGAGGCUGAACAAAUAAAGUUUUAUUAAAAUUUUUUUUUAAUUUUGAUUUUUCUUUUUUCUUUAAAUUUUGUUCUGAGGUAUUUAUUUUUGAAUAUGCAAAAAUUUUAUUUAUUUAAAUAAUUUUUAUUUUUUCCAUUAUAGUUGGUUUACAGUGCUGAGUAAUCACUUUUCUACUGUACAGCAAAGUGACCCAGUCACACAUGCAUAUAUACAUUCAUUUUCUCACAUUACCCUCCAUUAUUCUCCAUCACAAGUGACUAGAUAUAGUUCCCAGUGCUACACAGCAGGAUCUCAUAGCUAAUCCAUUCUGAAUGCAAUACUUUAUAUCUAUUAACCCCAGAUUCCCAGUCCAUCCCACUCCCACCCCCUUCCCCUUGGUAAUCACAAGUCUGUUCUCCAAGUCCAUGAGUUUCUUUUCUGUGGAAAGGUUAUUUGUGCCAUAUAUUAGAUUCCAGAUGUGUGAUAUCAGAUGGUAUUUGUCUUUCUCUUUCUGACUUCACUUAGUAUGAGAGUCUAUAGUUGUAUCCAUGUUGCUGCAAAUGGCAUUAUUUUGUUCUUUUUUAUGGCUGUGAGGUAUUCCAUUGUGUAUAUAUACCAUAUCUUCUUAAUCAAUUCAUCUUGUCAGUGGACAUUGAGGUUGUUUCCAUGUCUUGGCUAUUAUGGAUGGUGCUGCAAUGAACAUAUGGGUGCAUGUGUCUAUUUCAAGGAAAGUUUUGUCUGGAUAUAUGCCCAUUAUAGUUGAUUUGCCAUAAUCCAUCAAUUUCUACUGUACAGCAAAGGUUUAUUUCUUACUUAACAGUAAAUCUGGAAUUGUCAUUCUUCUGACCUGGUUUCAAGAGCUCAGUGAAGAGAAACACAAUUGUAGAAAUCAAGUCUGUUUUUGAGACAGGAAGAAGGUAGAAAUGAGAAGGUGGGCCAAGGACUCAGCAGGAGGAUUUUAUGUUAUAUCAAGAAACAAAAGCUCCAGAAGGCUUCCAGUUAUGUUUCCUUGGCC